GGGGAAUUUUGGACAAUGGGCGCAAGCCUGAUCCAGCCAUGCCGCGUGUCUGAAGAAGGCCUUCGGGUUGUAAAGGACUUUUGUCAGGGAAGAAAAGGCUGUCGCUAAUAUCGACAGUUGAUGACGGUACCUGAAGAAUAAGCACCGGCUAACUACGUGCCAGCAGCCGCGGUAAUACGUAGGGUGCGAGCGUUAACCGGAAUUACUGGGCGUAAAGCGAGCGCAGACGGUUACUUAAGCAGGAUGUGAAAUCCCCGGGCUCAACCUGGGAACUGCGUUCUGAACUGGGUGACUAGAGUGUGUCAGAGGGAGGUAGAAUUCCACGUGUAGCAGUGAAAUGCGUAGAGAUGUGGAGGAAUACCGAUGGCGAAGGCAGCCUCCUGGGAUAACACUGACGUUCAUGCUCGAAAGCGUGGGUAGCAAACAGGAUUAGAUACCCUGGUAGUCCACGCCCUAAACGAUGUCAAUUAGCUGUUGGGCAACUUGAUUGCUUAGUAGCGUAGCUAACGCGUGAAAUUGACCGCCUGGGGAGUACGGUCGCAAGAUUA
rnacentral:rRNA from 1 species